rnacentral:rRNA from 1 species
ACCUACGGGGGGCAGCAGUGGGGAAUAUUGCACAAUGGGGGAAACCCUGAUGCAGCGACGCCGCGUGAGUGAAGAAGUAUUUCGGUAUGUAAAGCUCUAUCAGCAGGAACGAGACAAGACGGUACCUGACUAAGAAGCCCCGGCUAACUACGUGCCAGCAGCCGCGGUAAUACGUAGGGGGCAAGCGUUAUCCGGAUUUACUGGGUGUAAAGGGAGCGUAGGCGGUUUAGCAAGUCAGAAGUGAAAGC